UACGUAGGGUGCAAGCGUUAAUCGGAAUUACUGGGCGUAAAGCGUGCGCAGGCGGUUUUGUAAGACAGGCGUGAAAUCCCCGGGCUCAACCUGGGAAUUGCGCUUGUGACUGCAAAGCUGGAGUGCGGCAGAGGGGGAUGGAAUUCCGCGUGUAGCAGUGAAAUGCGUAGAUAUGCGGAGGAACACCGAUGGCGAAGGCAAUCCCCUGGGCCUGCACUGACGCUCAUGCACAAAAGCGUGGGGAGCAAACAGG
rnacentral:rRNA from 1 species